UACGUAGGUGGCAAGCGUUUGUUCGGAAUUAUUGGGCGUAAAGCGCACGUAGGCGGCUUUGCAAGUCGGAUGUGAAAUCCCUCGGCUUAACCAAGGAAGUGCAUCCGAAACUACAGAGCUUGAGUACUUAAGAGGAUCGCGGAAUUCCCGGUGUAGAGGUGAAAUUCGUAGAUAUCGGGAGGAACACCGGUGGCGAAGGCGGCAUCCUGGACCGGCAUUGACGCUGAGGCGCGAAAGCCAGGGGAGCAAACGGG
rnacentral:rRNA from 1 species